GUGGAUUAGAUACCCUGGUAGUCCACACUGUAAACGAUGCUGACUAGUUGUUCGGGAUUUACAUCCUGAGUAACGUAGCUAACGGGUGAAGUCAGCCGCCUGGGGAGUACGGUCGCAAGAUUAAAACUCAAAGGAAUUGACGGGGACCCGCACAAGCGGUGGAUGAUGUGGAUUAAUUCGAUGCAACGCGAAAAACCUUACCUACCCUUGACAUGUCACUAACGAAGUAGAGAUACAUUAGGUGCUCGUAAGAGAAAGUGAACACAGGUGCUGCACGGCUGUCGUCAACU
rnacentral:rRNA from 1 species